AGCCCGACGCGGGGCUCCAACUCACGAACCAUGAGACCAUGACCUGAGCCGAAGUCGGCCGCCCAACGACUGAGCCACCCAGGCCCCCCGAGCUGCCAAGUCUUUUAAGUGCAAAGGCCACUCUAUCCUUGGACUUCCCACUCUGCGGGCGGCUGCCAUUAAGAAGUGGAAUCUGUUUCCUUAAAAGGCCUUGAACCUGGGCUAGCCCUGGCACUUGUUUUGACCUCCAGCAUAUGGCAGAAGUCGAUAUGGUGGCUCCCAGCACGGGGGUCACGAGGACUGGGAUACUUCCCACCCUCUGUUUUGGAAUCUUGAUCGACCACCGUGAGGACCAGCCUGAGCUAGACUUCUAGAGGAUGGGAGACCCCCGGGUGACCCCCAAGUAUGUAAGAAAGCUCAACCCAGCCCAGCCAGUGGAGCCACCGACACGACUCCAGCUGUCCUCGGACCCAUCAGUGAGCCCAGCUGGGGCCAGAAGAACCUCCGGCUGACCUGCAGACACUGAUGACAGUGGGAAACCACUUGGGUUCCUGAUGGAUUCAGUGCUCUCCAAAUGCUCUGUCGUAUUAGCCGUGGAAAUGGGCUUUGUCUUGUCCAGGAGUCAUCGCUUGAUGAAAUGAACAGGCACUCAACCUCCCGAAGCCAAAGCUCUUACGGCUGAGACCCAGGCUCGCACAAGAAAUUACUGCCCUUUAAGAGAAUGACGAGUGCACGGGAGUAUGGGCCAGACAUCGACAGCAGCAGCCACAGAGGGUCUGAGGGUCUCCUCCCCGCACCAUGAAUGCAGUCCCAGUGGAGAACAUCUCUGAUCUCCGGAAAAGCCCUGCCCAUAGGUGGGGAGAGAAUGAACUUUGGAACCAUGCGUCCUGGGCUCAAAUCCCAGCUCUUGGAGGCUCACCGUCUACUUUCUCUGCUGCCGAAGACGGUUUACACCCAGCAAAGGGAGAUCUCAGAAAAGGCUGAGCCUGAGUGGAGGGUGUGGAGGUGGCCUGGUUAUUCUUAGCAAGGAACGAAGAGAGGCAAAAGAUGCUUUGGGCUGCCAGGGCCGCAUAGCACCUUUCAGAGGGAGCAGCCAGACCACAGUCCUUCCUGGCUCGCCAAGUUUGGUUGGAAAUUCUUUCCACCCCAGGCAGCGGGGAAUUCAGGGAAUUCGGGGUGGGCCUGCCAGGGCCUUCAGAGACCCUUAAAUAAAAUUUCUCAGCUCUGGUGUCAGAACAGUGGUCAGACGUGAUGAGGGCUGUUCGAACAGCCGGGCCUGGCAAGCAGGACCCCGGAGGCUGGGCUCCUGGCCCAUCUGUAGUUUUCCUUCCCAUCUGAAAGCUUUGAUUCAUGCAAGGGCUGGCCCAAGGAGGGUGAGGGGAACUGAAAAGGUACGUGUCCUCAGAACCAAGGAAGAGGGAAGGACAUUGCCACCACCUUGCUGACGCCCCGGCUUUCAAAGGUUCAGGAAGGGCUGAAUGGCAUGGAGACCAUUGGCUUUUUGGUCCAAACUGUUGUUGCCCUCCAGGAGAGAACAAAAGUCCUUUUCUAGGGCACAGACUCUGUGGGUAAGACAGAGAGUAAGGGGUGAGAGCACAGCCUCUGGACUCAAAAGAGUCCCAUCUCUGUCACUAAGAAGCUGUGUAGCACUGGGCAGGUCAUUUAAGAUGUAAAAUUAAAAGGGCACCUCACUAAAAGGGAGUCAGGAGGCCAGAAGGGAGUCUGGG